GUGCUCACUUUGGCAGCACAUAAACUAAAACUGGAAUGAUACAGAGAAGAUUAACAUGGCCCCUGCCCAGAUAUACAGAGUAGCCUAGAACAAGCACCAUGUUGG
ensembl:snRNA U6 U6 spliceosomal RNA